rnacentral:rRNA from 1 species
UACACUCCUACGGGAGGCAGCAGUGGGGAAUUUUGGACAAUGGGCGAAAGCCUGAUCCAGCAAUGCCGCGUGAGUGAAGAAGGCCUUCGGGUUGUAAAGCUCUUUUGUCAGGGAAGAAACGGUGAGAGCUAAUAUCUUUUGCUAAUGACGGUACCUGAAGAAUAAGCACCGGCUAACUACGUGCCAGCAGCCGCGGUAAUACGUAGGGUGCAAGCGUUAAUCGGAAUUACUGGGCGUAAAGCGUGCGCAGGCGGUUUUGUAAGUCUGAUGUGAAAUCCCCGGGCUCAACCUGGGAAUUGCAUUGGAGACUGCAAGGCUAGAAUCUGGCAGAGGGGGGUAGAAUUCCACGUGUAGCAGUGAAAUGCGUAGAUAUGUGGAGGAACACCGAUGGCGAAGGCAGCCCCCUGGGUCAAGAUUGACGCUCAUGCACGAAAGCGUGGGGAGCAAACAGGAUUAGAUACCCGAGUAGUCCCAUGAU